rfam:Simian immunodeficiency virus isolate SIVcpzLB7, complete genome.
UGACUAGCGGUAGGCUAGAAGGAG